rnacentral:rRNA from 1 species
GACGAACCGUCCCGAACGUUAUUCGGAAUCACUGGGCUUAAAGGGUGCGUAGGCGGCACGGAAAGUUGGGUGUGAAAUCCCUCGGCUCAACCGAGGAACUGCGCCCAAAACUACCGUGCUCGAGGGAGAUAGAGGUGAGCGGAACUUAGGGUGGAGCGGUGAAAUGCGUUGAUAUCCUAAGGAACACCGGUGGCGAAAGCGGCUCACUGGAUCUUUUCUGACGCUGAGGCACGAAAGCUAGGGUAGCGGAACGGG